rnacentral:rRNA from 1 species
UAACAGGAGAGCUGAGCACUCUGGCGAGACUGCCGCCGACAAGGCGGAGGAAGGUGGGGAUGACGUCAAGUCAUCAUGGCCUUUAUGCCCAGGGCUACACACGUGCUACAAUGGCCGGCACAGACGGCAGCUUAGUGGCGACACUUGGCAAAUCCUCUAAAGCCGGUCCCAGUUCGGAUUGCAGUCUGCAACUCGACUGCAUGAAGCCGGAAUCGCUAGUAAUCGCAGAUCAGCCAAGCUGCGGUGAAUACGUUCCCGGGCCUU